UACGUAGGGUGCGAGCGUUAAUCGGAAUUACUGGGCGUAAAGCGUGCGUAGGCGGUCCGCGAAGUCUGAUGUGAAAGCCCCGGGCUCAACCUGGGAACUGCAUUGGAAACUAACGGGCUCGAGUGUGGCAGAGGGGGGUGGAAUUCCACGUGUAGCAGUGAAAUGCGUAGAGAUGUGGAGGAACACCGAUGGCGAAGGCAGCCCCCUGGGCUAACACUGACGCUCAGGCACGAAAGCCAGGGGAGCAAACGGG
rnacentral:rRNA from 1 species